rnacentral:lncRNA from 1 species
UUCUUUUGUUUCUCUAGGUAGGUUCCACAUUCAGCUCUAAUGUGUCCAUACCCAUCACAUUCAUGGCACUGAACUCCUUUUCCUUCUUUGGACUUUUCAUCAAAUCUUGUUCUUCUUCCAGCAUUAUUGGACUUACUGAUGUCAGAUGAGAUGUUCUUGACAUUAGACUUAGACCUUACAUCCAUAUUUUUCAGAAGUUUGUUGAACUAUCUUCCCAGUAAUGCUACAUCAUAUGCGAGAUCUUCA